AGUCAAAUAUUUCAACUGAAAACUGAAUCCCAAGUACGAUGGUCAAUGUAGAGUGUGUACAGGCUAACUUACACAACACUCAAUAUUUAACAAUGCAUGUUCAAGUCGAUUCAAUGUUUGAGUUACCUUUGAAACUCAUAUGUACAUUUUUAUGAUACUGUUUGGCUCAUACUUAACGAGUAGUCCUUCUGUAGAGCCGAGAUACAUUAUGGUAACAAAAAUAUAUAACUGGUGUAACUAGUCAACAUUUAAUAUUUUCUAAGUGGCAUUGACAUUUCGGCUGCCUAUAUAGAUCUAUCUACCUGCUUUGGUAUUGCGAAUGUAAAC